rnacentral:rRNA from 1 species
AUUGAACGCUGGCGGCAUGCCUUACACAUGCAAGUCGAACGGUAACAGGUCUUCGGAUGCUGACGAGUGGCGAACGGGUGAGUAAUACAUCGGAACGUGCCUAGUAGUGGGGGAUAACUACUCGAAAGAGUGGCUAAUACCGCAUGAGAUCUACGGAUGCAAGCAGGGGAUCGCAAGACCUUGUGCUUAUACAGCGGCCGAUGGCAGAUUAGGUAGUUGGUGGGAUAAAAGCUUACCAAGCCGACGAUCUGUAGCUGGUCUGAGAGGACGAUCAGCAACACUGGGACUGAGACACGGCCCAGACUCCUACGGGAGGCAUCAGUGGGGAAUUCUGGACAAUGGGCGCAAGCCUGAUCCAGCAAUGCCGCGUGCAGGAUGAAGGCCUUCGGGUUGUAAACUGCUUUUGUACGGAACGAAAAGCCCCGGGUUAAUACCCUGGGGUCAUGACGGUACCGUAAGAAUAAGCACCGGCUAACUACGUGCCAGCAGCCGCCGUAA